UCACGCUAAGCGGGGAGUUAGCGGUGCCCUGAACCUGCAAUCCGCUACAGCAGGGCUGAAUUCCCGUUUUGAGGUUGGGAACUGUUGGGUCCUUGGAGUCGAUAAGGAGUGUUGAUGUCCGAGUCCUGUGCAACUUGCGCUUUCGAACCAUGUCAGGUCCUGACGGAAGCAGCAUUAAGAAAUGUCGCGGGUGUGCCGCGGGGUUGCUUGGAAGGAGCUACCUGUCGGAUUUCCGCCAAUGGCGACUUAAUCGAGAAACGGGUGCGUGA
rnacentral:SRP_RNA from 1 species